rnacentral:tRNA from 1 species
CCUCUCAUGGCGUAGUGGUUAACGCGCCCCAACUAGAGAUCGGGGACUCGUGAGUUCGAUUCUCACUGAGAAGA